rnacentral:rRNA from 1 species
AGCACCGGCUAACUACGUGCCAGCAGCCGCGGUAAUACGUAGGGUGCAAGCGUUAUCCGGAAUUAUUGGGCGUAAAGGGCUCGUAGGCGGUUCGUCGCGUCCGGUGUGAAAGUCCAUCGCUUAACGGUGGAUCCGCGCCGGGUACGGGCGGGCUUGAGUGCGGUAGGGGAGACUGGAAUUCCCGGUGUAACGGUGGAAUGUGUAGAUAUCGGGAAGAACACCAAUGGCGAAGGCAGGUCUCUGGGCCGUUACUGACGCUGAGGAGCGAAAGCGUGGGGAGCGAACAGGAUUAGAUACCCUGGUAGUCCACGCCGUAAACGGUGGAUGCUGGAUGUGGGGACCAUUCCACGGUCUCCGUGUCGGAGCCAACGCGUUAAGCAUCCCGCCUGGGGAGUACGGCCGCAAGGCUAAAACUCAAAGAAAUUGACGGGGGCCCGCACAAGCGGCGGAGCAUGCGGAUUAAUUCGAUGCAACGCGAAGAACCUUACCUGGGCUUGACAUGUUCCCGACAGCCGUAGAGAUACGGUCUCCCUUCGGGGCGGGUUCACAGGUGGUGCAUGGUCGUCGUCAGCUCGUGUCGUGAGAUGUUGGGUUAAGUCCCGCAACGAGCGCAACCCUCGCCCUGUGUUGCCAGCACGUCGUGGUGGGAACUCACGGGGGACCGCCGGGGUCAACUCGGAGGAAGGUGGGGAUGACGUCAGAUCAUCAUGCCCCUUACGUCCAGGGCUUCACGCAUGCUACAAUGGCCGGUACAACGGGAUGCGACGCGGCGACGCGGAGCGGAUCCCUGAAAACCGGUCUCAGUUCGGAUCGCAGUCUGCAACUCGACUGCGUGAAGGCGGAGUCGCUAGUAAUCGCGAAUCAGCAACGUCGCGGUGAAUGCGUUCCCGGGCCUUGUACACACCGCCCGUCAAGUCAUGAAAGUGGGCAGCACCCGAAGCCGGUGGCCUAACCCCUUGUGGGAUGGAGCCGUCUAAGGUGAGGCUCGUGAUUGGGACUAAGUCGUAACAAGGUAGCCGUACCGGAAGGUGCGGCUG